rnacentral:telomerase_RNA from 1 species
ACAAGUUUAGAAGGGAUUUACGAGUGAAACAUUAAGUGUCUGGAAGGCUCACCGAGUAUGUUUGAGGUUUUCUAACCUAACCUAAACUUUCAGAAAUAAAGGUUUAGUUUAUGGGUGCCAAAUAUGUGUUAAUGAUUUGACAUCCUAAUAAAAUCUUCCUUUAUUUCUGAUUUGGUUUGUUCGCCCUUCAUCCAAUUAAAACAAAUAGUAAGGGUAUUCUCGUUAAAUCCUUAAUUUUU